rnacentral:rRNA from 1 species
AAUUGGUGGUUUGGGGAAUCCGGAAUGGUACUUUUAAAAAAAUAAAAUGGUUAAAGCCAGGCUACCCCUGGAUAUCUUUACCUGGAAUAAUGAAAUAAGAACUUUUGAUUCUAUUUUGUUGGUUUCUAGGAUCGACGUAAUGAUUAAUAGGGAUAGUUGGGGGCAUUAGUAUUCAAUUGUCAAAGGUGAAAUUCUUGGAUUUAUUGAAGACUAACUACUGCGAAAGCAUUUGCCAAGGAUGUUUUCAUUAAUCAAGAACGAAAGUUAGGUGGAUCGAAGACGAUCAGAUACCGUCGUAGUCUUAACCAUAAACUAUGCCGACUAGGGAUCGGAUGAUGUUAAUUUUUUAAUGACUCAUUC